ACGGGAGGCAGCAGUGAGGAAUAUUGGUCAAUGGGCGGAAGCCUGAACCAGCCAAGUCGCGUGAGGGAAGACGGCCCUACGGGUUGUAAACCUCUUCUGCGCGGGGGUAAAGUCGGGGACGUGUCCCCGAUUGCAAGUACCGCGCGAAAAAGGAUCGGCUAACUCCGUGCCAGCAGCCGCGGUAAUACGGGGGAUACGAGCGUUAUCCGGAUUUAUUGGGUUUAAAGGGUGCGCAGGCGGAUCGGUAAGUCAGGGGUGAAAAGUUGGGGCUCAACUCCAAUCGUGCCUUUGAUACUGCCGGACUAGAGUGCGAUAGACGUGGCCGGAAUGUGAUGUGUAGCGGUGAAAUGCUUAGAUAUGUCACAGAACACCGAUCGAGAAGUCAGGUCACGAGCUCGCAACUGACGCUCAGGCACGAAAGCGUGGGGAUCAAACAGGAUUAGAUACCCUGGUA
rnacentral:rRNA from 1 species